rnacentral:rRNA from 1 species
UCUCAGUUCGGAUUGCAGGCUGCAACUCGCCUGUAUGAAGUCGGAAUUGCUAGUAAUCGUGGAUCAGCAUGCCACGGUGAAUACGUUCCCGGGCCUUGUACACACCGCCCGUCACACCAUGAGAGCCGGGAACACCCGAAGUCCGUAGUCUAACCUAUAUGGAGGACGCGGCCGAAGGUGGGUUUGGUAAUUGGGGUGAAGUCGUAACAAGGUAAC